rnacentral:tRNA from 1 species
ACUAAGAAGCUAUAGCGGGCCUAGCAUUAGCCUUUUAAGCUGAAGAAUGGUGCCUCCCAACCACCCUUAGUC